rnacentral:rRNA from 1 species
GGGGAGGCCUUACAUGCAAGUCGAACGGGGGAUGCAUUUUCGAGGCGGUUAGUUUACUAAGCGCCAAGAUGCUGGCAUCUUAGUGGCGGACGGGUGAGUAACGCGUGGGUAACCUGCCUUAUACAGGGGGAUAACACUUAGAAAUAGGUGCUAAUACCGCAUAAGCGCGCUGUGCCGCAUGGCGCGGCGCGGAAAACCCCGGUGGUACAGGAUGGGCCCGCGUCUGAUUAGCUGGUUGGCAGGGUAACGGCCUACCAAGGCGACGAUCAGUAGCCGGACUGAGAGGUUGAACGGCCACAUUGGGACUGAGAUACGGCCCAGACUCCUACGGGAGGCAGCAGUCGGGAAUAUUGCGCAAUGGAGGGAACUCUGACGCAGUGACGCCGCGUAUAGGAAGAAGGUUUUCGGAUUGUAAACUAUUGUCGUUAGGGAAGAAAAAAGACAGUACCUAAGGAGGAAGCCCCGGCUAACUAUGUGCCAGCAGCCGCGGUAAUACAUAGGGGGCAAGCGUUAUCCGGAAUUAUUGGGUGUAAAGGGUGCGUAGACGGGUGUUUAAGUUGGUUGUGAAAUCCCUCGGCUCAACUGAGGAACUGCAACCAAAACUGGAUAUCUUGAGUGUCGGAGAGGAAAGUGGAAUUCCUAGUGUAGCGGUGAAAUGCGUAGAUAUUAGGAGGAACACCAGUGGCGAAGGCGACUUUCUGGACGAUAACUGACGUUGAGGCACGAAAGUGUGGGGAGCAAACAGGAUUAGAUACCCUGGUAGUCCACACUGUAAACGAUGGAUACUAGGUGUAGGGUGU